rnacentral:rRNA from 1 species
GAUGAACGCUGGCGGCGUGCCUAAUACAUGCAAGUCGAGCGAACGGACGAGAAGCUUGCUUCUCUGAUGUUAGCGGCGGACGGGUGAGUAACACGUGGAUAACCUACCUAUAAGACUGGGAUAACUUCGGGAAACCGUAGCUAAUACCGGAUAAUAUUUUGAACCGCAUGGUUCAAAAGUGAAAGACGGUCUUGCUGUCACUUAUAGAUGGAUCCGCGCUGCAUUAGCUAGUUGGUAAGGUAACGGCUUACCAAGGCAACGAUGCAUAGCCGACCUGAGAGGGUGAUCGGCCACACUGGAGCUGAGACACGGUCCAGACUCCUACGGGAGGCAGCAGUAGGGAAUCUUCCGCAAUGGGCGAAAGCCUGGCGGAGCAACGCCGCGUGAGUGAUGAAGGUCUUCGGAUCGUAAAACUCUGUUAUUAGGGAAGAACAUAUGUGUAAGUAACUGUGCACAUCUUGACGGUACCUAAUCAGAAGGCCACGGCUAACUACGUG